GACGAACGCUGGCGGCGUGCUUAACACAUGCAAGUCGAACGGAAAGGCCCUGCUUUUGUGGGGUGCUCGAGUGGCGAACGGGUGAGUAACACGUGAGUAACCUGCCCUUGACUUUGGGAUAACUUCAGGAAACUGGGGCUAAUACCGGAUAGGAGCUCCUGCUGCAUGGUGGGGGUUGGAAAGUUUCGGCGGUUGGGGAUGGACUCGCGGCUUAUCAGCUUGUUGGUGGGGUAGUGGCUUACCAAGGCUUUGAAGGGUAGCCGGCCUGAGAGGGUGACCGGCCACAUUGGGACUGAGAUACGGCGCAGACUCCUACGGGAGGCAGCAGUGGGGAAUAUUGCACAGUGGGAGGAAGCCUGAUGCAGCAACGCCGCGUGCGGGAUGACGGCCUUCGGGUUGUAAACCGCUUUCGCCUGUGACGAAGCGUGAGUGACGGUAAUGGGUAAAGAAGCACCGGCUAACUACGUG
rnacentral:rRNA from 1 species